CACACCCUCGCAGCGAACGAUCAAAAGGCCACUUCGGCGUUGGCAAACUCGUCUCUCUUGUGGUUCUGGGUCACGUCCGCCACCAUCUCGCCGAACCUGCACGGGGGGCUGACAACAGGCACCGUGCCCCGCGCGUACUGUCCACCGGCACCACGCCCGCUGCCAAGUCCAUCGGCAUGCACGUCCUUGGACUUCUGUGCGAUGAUGACGGAGUUCACCACGUCGUCGUCGGGAUGGCACACGGCCAGCACCUCGAACCCGCCUCGGCCGAUGUCCUGGGGGUCGACGAUCGGGUACAGGAACCCGCGCGCUCCGUGUGCGCUGCGCACGACGAGGGCCGCCCCGUCUGCCAUGUGUGCGCCGAGGUGCGCGAUCACCUUCGCCUUGUCCUCGGCGGCCAUGC
rnacentral:lncRNA from 1 species